UAUAUGCAAUGGUGUCCGA
rnacentral:misc_RNA from 1 species